rnacentral:rRNA from 1 species
GCUUUCGACGGUAUGGUAUUGGCUUACCGUGGCAGUGACGGUUAACGGGGGAUUAGGGUUCGAUUCCGGAGAGGGAGCCUGAGAAACGGCUACCACAUCUAAGGAAGGCAGCAGGCGCGCAAAUUACCCAAUUCUAACAGUUUGAGAGAGGUAGUAACAAGAAAUAACAAUACAAGGCAGUUAAAAUGCUUUGUAAUUGGAAUGAUAGAAAUUUAAACCCUUUUUAAAGUAUCAAUUGGAGGGCAAGUCUGGUGCCAGCAGCCGCGGUAAUUCCAGCUCCAAUAGCGUAUAUUAAAAUUGUUGCAGUUAAAAAGCUCGUAGUUGAAGUUCUGCUGAAAGUAACCGGUCUGCUUUUAAUAAAAGUGGUAUCUUGGUAUGUAUUUAGCAAUGAUGUCCUUUGAAGUGUUUUUUACUUUAUUGUAAUAAAGCAUAUUCAGGACUUUUACUUUGAGAAAAUUAGAGUGUUUCUAGCAGGCUGACGCUUUGAAUACUGCAGCAUGGAAUAAUAAGAUAGGAUUUUAGUUCUACAUUAUUGGUUUUAAGAGCUAAAUUAAUGAUUGAUAGGGACAGUUGGGGGCAUUUGUAUUUAACUGUCAGAGG